UGGGGAAUAUUGCACAAUGGGCGCAAGUCUGAUGCAGCCAUGCCGCGUGUAUGAAGAAGGCCUUCGGGUUGUAAAGUACUUUCAGUCGGGAGGAAGGUGGUAAGGUUAAUAACCUUAUCAAUUGACGUUACCGACAGAAGAAGCACCGCCUACCUCCGUGCCAGCAGCCGCGGUAAUACGGAGGGUGCAAGCGUUAAUCGGAAUUACUGGGCGUAAAGCGCACGCAGGCGGUUGAUUGAGUCAGAUGUGAAAUCCCCGGGCUUAACCCGGGAAUUGCAUCUGAUACUGGUCAGCUAGAGUCUUGUAGAGGGGGGUAGAAUUCCAUGUGUAGCGGUGAAAUGCGUAGAGAUGUGGAGGAAUACCGGUGGCGAAGGCGGCCCCCUGGACGAAGACUGACGCUCAGGUGCGAAAGCGUGGGGAGCAAACAGG
rnacentral:rRNA from 1 species